AUUGAACGCUGGCGGCGUGCUUAACACAUGCAAGUCGAUCGGUAACAGGUGUAGCAAUACAUGCUGACGAGAGGCGGACGGGUGAGGAACGCUUGGGAAUCUGCCUAUCAGCGGGGGACAACCCGGGGAAACCCGGGCUAAUACCGCAUACGCUCUACGGAGGAAAGCCGGGGACCGCAAAGCCUGGCACUGAUAGAUGAGCCCAAGUCGGAUUAGCUAGUUGGCGAGGUAACGGCCCACCAAGGCGACGAUCCGUAGCUGGUCUGAGAGGACGAUCAGCCACACCGGAACUGAGACACGGUCCGGACUCCUACGGGAGGCAGCAGUGGGGAAUAUUGGACAAUGGGCGAAAGCCUGAUCCAGCGACGCCGCGUGGGUGAAGAAGGCCUGCGGGUUGUAAAGCCCUUUCGGUAGGGACGAAAGCUCUUGCUCUAACAAAGCAGGAGGUUGACUUAACCUACAUAAGAAGCACCGGCUAACUCUGUGCCAGCCGCCGCGGUAA
rnacentral:rRNA from 1 species